UAGGGAAUCUUCCACAAUGGGCGAAAGCCUGAUGGGCAACGCCGCGUGUGUGAUGAAGGCUUUCGGGUCGUAAAGCACUGUUGUAUGGGAAGAACAGCUAGAAUAGGAAAUGAUUUUAGUUUGACGGUACCAUACCAGAAAGGGACGGCUAAAUACGUGCCAG
rnacentral:rRNA from 1 species